UAUAAAUGUCAUUGAGCAUUACUAUUCGAACAUGGAUCGAAUUUGUUAGCAUGGUAGCAAACCUUUAUUAUAUGAUGCAUGCAUUCAUAUUCAUGAUUAUGGGCAUAGUAGCAUAGUUUUCCUACUACUGCAUUUACAGCUUUCAGAUACAUAUCUAUCUAUCUAUCUGUUGUUACUUGUGCCCACUGGGACCUAGUGGGGAGAUCGGCAGGGUCGGCGGCCGAGCCCACUGGGAACUAUGGAAGAUAGUUCUCACCCCACUCUAUUUCCAGUGGUAGGUUCAGGGCUGCAGAGUCAGGACCGCGGCAAGGGCGUCGCGCCCGACCAGUGAGACCGUGGUAGCAUAGUAGCUUUCCUUUUUGCAUUAGUCACCUAUGUAUUGAGAGAGAUUCUUGUAGGUGAGGUUGGAGAGC
rnacentral:lncRNA from 1 species